CUAAGCAGAGUUCCCUGGGCUAUACAUUAGGUCUUUGUUGGUUGUUUAUUACAUACACACAUUUUAAAAAGUAGACCAAACUAAAAGUAUUCCCUGAUUUCAUUUUUUUCUAAGUGUCAGAGAGAUUGUUCCAUAUCAGUUUAAAUUUAAUUCACUUAUUUUAAUGGCAGGAUAGUUUCCAUAGAAAGAGAGUGUUCUAUAUUUUAUUUAACCACAUACUCCUCCUCCCUCCCAGCUGAUGGACUUUCCACUAUGAUAGAUUCAUUUUAUUAUAAACACUGUGUCAAUGAAUAUCAUUGCAAAGAGAUUUGGAUAAUAUGUAGGAAUAUUCAUUUGGGACAGAAUUGAAGGAGAAAAAGCAUGGGAUUGAAGCAUAUACCCAUGAACACUGUAACAAACCCUGCCAAGUUCCUUCCCAAAUAAUUAACUUGCUCACACUCCCGUCAACAACCAGGGCUCUCUCCUCACACACGUUCACUGACAUUGGAGGUUAACCAUCUUCCAAUUUUUACUAAUCUAAUAGAUAAAAGAUGAUAUUUCAUCUCAAUUUGGAUUUCUAUCAUAGUAGGGAAGUUGAAUAUUUUUUGAAGUAUUUACUGGUUCUCUCAAUUUCUUUUGUAUUUCUCUUCUACAUUUUGGUGUCAUGCAUUCUAUAAUCGUCUGUCGUUUUCUUAGGCACCAAUUCUGUUACCCGUUUUCUAUCUGACUUCUGUUUUUUAUUUGUCUAGUUGUAAAUGCCACUCAUUAUGGCAACGAUGAGAGAAUACAAUGAAAGACAGUGAGGAGGUUAUUAAGCGUAAUGAAUUGCUUCACCCUCUCUGAAGACCAAUGACCUUCGAAAUAAGAGGAGUAUUUUUUAAUUUCUUUCUUCUUCUUCUUCUUUAGUCUUAAUAGCCACUUGUAUUUGCCACAGAGCAAACCUGAUGCAAAAUCUCUGCUUAGUUGCUUCCCACAUACUUAAUUAAUAACCAUUCUACUGUAUCCCACUAGAGGGUAAUGUUGGGCUAAAGACCAAUCCCUGUGACUAACUUUGAGGCCCACGUUCAACAUAUUCUGGUUAAAGUUUUACAUCUCUAGUAAAAACUAAAAGGAUACAUUGCCCUUAACUGCUCAAUACAGUUAGGGCAGAAAAGGAGGGCAGAGCUGUGAAUUCAAGUGUAAUAACUCAAAGCAUAUCAAGAAAAGCUUGAUAGAAGCAUCUGCUCAGGUCACACUCUGCAGAGACAACGUCAGGAAGCCAAAGGAUCAAAGGAAGAAAAGAUUACAUGCAGGAGAGAUGAUGUCCUCCAUGACGCAAACAUUACCUAACAUGAAAUAUCUCCAGAGGAUUUUCUUUCUGCUUAGGAUGUGGUUUCCUCUCGGGUUCGUGGCCUUAAACUGGCAACAUUCGCUUAUACAGCCAUGCCAGGGCCAGGCGGUCCCCAGAGGCUCAGUGCCCUUGGCUAGCACACCUCUGCCACCUCCCAUCGGGCUGGCCUGAAUCACAGAUAACUUCUGGUGGCCUCCCCUGACAGUCAGAAGCUCAGGAAAAGCGUGUACAAAAAUCACGUCCCAAAGCGCAGUCCCGGUCAUCCUCCAAAAGGUCCUGCCCCUCUCCAAAGGCACUUCCGUCUACCGCACUUUGUAUUUUCUCUGAAAAAGAGACGCUUGCAAAAGCUCCGUUAAAAACAUGAAAGGUCUGAUUGAAGAAACAAAGGUCAAAAUGAUCCACGUGCAAUGAGACAGUCAUUCAAAAAGUAAACGGUGCUACUUCUAAAAUAAUAAAACCUUAACCUUGACGGAGGGCUCAAUGCCAAGUGGCCCUUCUACCAAGAAAGCUCUCAGACAGCGACACCUGCAGACAAAGCUGGACGGAGUCUUUGGAAACCGAAGGAGAUCCUCCACUCCCACUUUAAAGUCUCUAACCUGAGAGCUUGGGG